AGGGAGGGAGGGCGAGAGACGGUCCCCGCCGAGCCGCGCGCUCAGCUGCCUGUCACACUGCAAGGUCUUUAGAGAUCAGCCGCGAAAAUCCCAUGCAACGUGCGGGAAACUCUGGAGACCCCGGGUGAGGAGUGGGAGGAGAGAGGCGGGAUCGGUCCUCGAGCUCCCAGCCGCGGGGUCGGAGAGGGCGGAGCAGCGGCGACAAAACCCGCUCUCGCCGAGGCAGGAGUCCACAGACAGCCACCGAGGUGGAGAGGGGUCGCCGGCCUGACCGCAGCUAGGGCGGGGGCGGGGGGAUUUUUAAAACUCCAGCUGAGUACGUUUAACUUAUUUUUCUUCAGCAAUUUGGAGUCGCGGUCCCUCGCCGUUGGCUGUCAAACGGGAAUUAGCCCGUUUGACCCUCCCAGUGAUCCUUUGAAGGAGGUCUGAGAAGCUUGGAGUUCAAAGGGAUUUCUUCGAGGUCGGUGGCAAGCGCCGAGGGUCCAAAGGACAUUGGUCUCCUUAGUACAUAGCCCCUGGCUUCCUCUCCGCACGCAACACAGCCCAGCGGGGCGGGGCGGGGCUGGCCUUGCUAGACACAAACAUGGUGCCAUCAAAAUCAAACGGAGCACAUGGUAACAGUGUCUGGAAGACGCCAAGCAAACAGUUGGUGUGCUCCUAUCCAGCAGAUCCGGCUGAGUCUGUAAUGUCCCAGGAAGAAAGGAGACAGGAGACGGGCCACACUUGGCAGACACGUCCUAGGGCGGUGCUUGCAAAGCAGCGUGAAAACCCCUUUCCCCAGGCCCAUCCUUUCUUGGUUAUGUCCUUCCCAGUUUGCUCACAGAUAAAUCUACCCCACCGCGCGGCUGAGAGCACAGUGAUUCUGAAACCUGAGAUGGAAGUUCAGGCCAACACCCUACCCACACCCAACCCCCACUCCUGGCAGGACCAAAGACCCUUCUGUCCCAACUUCAGUUAGGUCACUCACAACUCAUAAUUAAAGCUGCAGGUUAGUGCACCCUUAACAUAACAAAAGGUGAAUCCAUAAAACCCUGUUCCCUAUUUUCCAAUAGCCUACUGUGCCUCUUAAUGAAACACCCCAGUAAGUGGUAUCUUGGUCAUGUCUAGGUGAGUGGGCCACACCGUGGGUGACAGGGAGGGGAGGGUGGUCAGUGAGGCUUGUAAUUAAUACUAGAAAGCAGGGCACACUUGCCCAGUGUCUCCUCCUCCACCUCACCCACCAAGGUUCCUGAAGUCAUCUGUUGGAAUUUUGAGGAGAAAUGCCUUGUGUUGUCUGGAAUAAACCUCAAGUGGCUACUGAAUUGUGUUUUUAA
rnacentral:lncRNA from 1 species